ACGCAUCUGUAAAACAAGUUCAUUCUGGCAAGAUACAGAAUCAUAGCUGAAUUUAUAUCUAAGAAGCUGAAGCUUACAACUUAAGUCCCAAAAGAUCAGUGCCAAAGCAACGUGAAGUACAGUGCUUGUUAGAAAAAAUAACCAUAUCAUAUCAUGUGGAAUAGCAUUAGUUUGCCGUGAUUAUAAUAUGCGUAACAUUGCAAGAGAGUCAGAUCCACAAAACAGCCAGCAACUAAUCAAGCUCACAUGUUCAUCUCAGCAAUUGAAUCCACCUCUAAACUGAAACAAAACACAAUUUGUAUUCAGAAUUUCAGAUUGCAAGUAUCAUCAGAUUUUGGGGUAAAUGGGAGAGAGGUGAGAAGCUCACCACACUAGGAGCAGAGGACGCAGCCGUCGGUGAGCUCAUCCACAUGCUGGAGGAUAGGAGGAUGGGGCCACGAGGGUGCUGGACUUGCUGCUCCACCUAAUCCAGCAAAGAGAGCUUGUUGGGGACGGCCACGCCGAGGAGGACGUCCUGUACACUGCUGGAUGGGAGAAGGGGGUACAGGUGCGUGCUUGUGCUGUACUGGCGCUCCUCCUUGGAGGUCGAUGACAAGGAGGAGCACCGGUGUUCGCCGCCACCGCCGUCGAGCAAGACAAGGCUGCCAUGCCCGCCCUCGUCCCGGAUCGGCGGCUGCAGGAUGUGCCGCGUCUGUGGAUCCAGCGAGAGGAGGUCCUCCAUGCCGCCUUUCUCAAGGUGGACCAUCAGGAGUCGAGGGCGCGCAGUAGACGACGGAGAAGAGCCGCCGGAGACCGCCGGAAAUGUGCUGACGAUGAAGCCGGUACCGGAGGGCCAAAUCCUAGCACGGGUGUGGAUUUUGGGCGAGCGGUCGAUGCCGAGAGGGGAAAUUUACUGGAGGGGAGGAUGGAUCCGAGUGAGGCGAGCUCGGUGGUGUGGAAUCGCCGGAAUCGCCCGAAUCGGGAGCGGCGGUUGUGGCGGCUGAGGGAACGGAGGAGAGAAUGGGGGGUUAGGGUUAGAUGGGUCUGGACUUUGG
rnacentral:lncRNA from 1 species